CUUACAGGACAGUCCAGUGGAGUAACGGCUCAAAAAGUCCAUGACUGACAUAUAUGUUAUUAUAAGCAAAAAUACACAGACCACUUUUAACCUUAAUGGACGAUCAGAUUAUGUAAUAGUAUUACUAGCACGGCUGCGCAGGGUAUAGUUUAAUUCUGGCUUUUAAAACCUGGCUGGGUAACAUGUUUCAUUCAGCUCCAUGGCUAGAUUUUGAAUCAUUGAAAUCUAGAUUGAUUUUAUACCAGCUAUUAGUAAGUUCAAAACAUCCUGAGGCCUUCUGUUUUCCCCUGACCUAUUUCCAUGUUCGUACCUCUUCUGUCAUUAAACCAAAAGAAAAUAUACACCUAGUGACAGUAAACACCCUCAGGGCAUCUCCAUGAAAACAUACAAAUGCUAAAGACCUUUAAAAAUAUUUUAGGCCUAGGACCUCAGGAAGCGUUAUGUCUGGUGAAAACCUUUGGUGCUUUUAGUAAAACAAACUUUGAAUUCAUAUAAAGAAAACAAAGAAACUGAAAGAGUAGUUCCAGUUCUUGCAACAUAAUGCAGCCGCAAAGUGAUGUUCACGGGAAUGAGUCCUGCCAUGCAGUAAGACGGGUGUCAACUUCGAAGCCACUUUCCAGGGGGCGUUUCCUGACGCCCCCUGGCUUAGUGCCCAGACAGGGGUCGUCCCUGGUUAACUUGGGCAGGACAGGAGGGCGGCCUGCUCCUCCCUAGGCCCGAGGAUGCGCCCGCAGCAGGUGAACGGCUUCGGGAGCCAGGAGCUCGGCAAGCUGGCGACCCCUGGGCGAGGACUACAAAGGACCCAAGGCGAAGCCAGCGCCGGCAGGCAGAGCCGACCCCGGCGGGACUCCACCUGCCCGCGAGUGUUCGUCAAGUGCUCGGCUGCGGGGCCGUCCCGGCGGGGCGGGAUUCACUGCGCGGGCGCGGCAGUCGCCACUCACCGAGGUUGACGACCUUGAGGGCCGUGAAGAAGCGGUUCUGCCGGGCCAGGUCCUGCCAGGGCGCCUUGGAGCAGUGGUACUUGAUGAAGGGGAAGCAGCCCGCAUGCAUUCUCACUAUGUUGCUUAAGCUGGUCUAGAACUCAAGCCAAUCUGUCACUUCAGCCUCUUGAGUCACUGGGAUUACAGGAACCACCAUGUCCAGCUUAUUUCGCUGUGUGAUCAUGGCUUACUGCUGUGUGAUCAUGGCUUACUGCAGCCUCUACCUCCCAGGUUCAAGAGAUCCUCCCAGCUCAGCCUCCCAAGUAGCUGGGACUACAGACCCUAACCACUAUGCCCAGCUAAUUUUUUGUAUUUUGUAUUUUUUGUAGAGACAUGGUCUCACUUUGUUUUGCAGGCUGAUCUUGAACUCCUGGGCUCAAGCGAUCCUCCUACCUCGGCCUCCCAGUGUGUUGGGAUUACAGGCAUGAGUUGCAGUGCCCAGCUGAUAUGUAUACUUUUCUAUAUGUAUAUUACACUUCAAUAAAAAGUUUGAAACAGAAAA